rnacentral:rRNA from 1 species
GAGUUUGAUCCUGGCUCAGAUUGAACGCUGGCGGCAUGCUUUACACAUGCAAGUCGAGCGGCAGGCGGGGCAACGCGGACGGCGAACGGGUGAGUAAUGCAUCGGAACGUGUCCGGGAGUGGGGGAUAACCGCCGAAAGGCGGGCUAAUACCGCAUAUGCUUACGGAGGAAAGGGGGGACCGGCUCCGGAGCGGCCGAUGUCCGAUUAGCUAGUUGGUGGGGUAAUGGCUUACCAAGGCGAUGACGGGUAGGGGACCUGAGAGGGUGGCCCCCCACAAUGGAACUGAAACACGGUCCAUACACCUACGGGUGGCAGCAGUAGGGAAUAUUAGUAAUGGGCGAAAGCCUGAACUAGCAACGCCGCGUGUGCGAAGAAGGCCUUCGGGUUGUAAAGCACUUUUUGAGAGGAUGAGAAGGACGGUACUCUCAGAAUAAGUCUCGGCUAACUACGUGCCAGCAGCCGCGGUACACGUAGGAGGCAAACGUUAUCCGGAUUUACUGGGCGUAAAGCGCGUGUAGGUGGUUUGGUAAGUAGGGCGUGAAAGCUCCUGGCUCAACUGGGGGAGGACGUUCUAAACUGCCAAGCUUGAGGGUGGUAGAGGGAGGUGGAAUUCCGGGUGUAGCGGUGGAAUGCGCAGAUAUCCGGAGGAACACCAGUGGCGAAGGCGGCCUCCUGGACCACUCCUGACACUCAGACGCGAAAGCUAGGGUAGCAAACGGGAUUAGAGACCCCGGUAAUCCUAGCCCUAAACGAUGCGAACUGGAUGUGGUCACUUGGAGCUCAGUAUCGAAGCUAACGCGUUAAGUUCGCCGCCUGGGGAGUACGGUCGCAAGACUGAAACUCAAAGGAAUUGACGGGGGCCCGCACAAGCGGUGGAGUAUGUGGUUUAAUUCGAUGCAACGCGAAGAACCUUACCUGGCCUUGACAUGCACGGAACUUUCCAGAGAUGGAUUGGUGCCUUCGGGAACCGUGACACAGGUGCUGCAUGGCUGUCGUCAGCUCGUGUCGUGAGAUGUUGGGUUAAGUCCCGCAACGAGCGCAACCCUUGUCCUUAGUUGCCAGCACGUAAUGUGGGAACUCUAAGGAGACCGCCGGUGACAAACCGGAGGAAGGUGGGGAUGACGUCAAGUCAUCAUGGCCCUUACGGCCAGGGCUACACACGUACUACAAUGGUGGGGACAGAGGGCUGCAAGCGCGCGAGCGUGAGCCAAUCCCAGAAACCCCAUCUCAGUCCGGAUUGGAGUCUGCAACUCGACUCCAUGAAGUCGGAAUCGCUAGUAAUCGCAGAUCAGUUGCUGCGUGAAUACGUUCCCGGGCCUUGUACACACCGCCCGUCACACCAUGGGAGUUUGUUGCACCAGAAGCAGGUAGCUAACCUUCGGGAGGGCGCUUGCCACGGUGUGGCGAUGACUGGGGUGAAGUCGUAACAAGGUAGCCGUAUCGGAAGGUGCGGCUGGAUCACCU